UACGUAGGGCGCAAGCGUUAUCCGGAAUUAUUGGGCGUAAAGAGCUCGUAGGCGGUUUGUCGCGUCUGCCGUGAAAGUCCGGGGCUCAACUCCGGAUCUGCGGUGGGUACGGGCAGACUAGAGUGAUGUAGGGGAGACUGGAAUUCCUGGUGUAGCGGUGAAAUGCGCAGAUAUCCGGAGGAACACCAGUGGCGAAAGCGGCUCUCUGGGGGCAACCUGACGCUGAGGCGCGAAAGCGUGGGGAGCGAACCGG
rnacentral:rRNA from 1 species